GGAGUGAGGCUGGAUGUGUCCAUUUUGUCAGUUUGACCCUCUUCCGACUUAGUAAGAUCCUUGUCGUUGGACCUGAGAACAUUUCGAGUGUCCAUGAUUCGUAUUCGAACAAGUAAGACAAGAAUUUCUUAUAUCUCGUGUGUACAGAGCGUUUCUGACACGAAAAAAAUAAUAUACAGGUGAGUGUUUGAUCCCGUAGGGAAAUAUCACAGACCUGGAGUUGCUGUGAGCUCGGGUGUCUGAUCCACGGAGUGGAAAUAUCACCUGAGUUGCAGAGAAAGUCCACAGAAAGCAAUAAACAGCUCGGAUGCGUGACUUGCUGCGGCAAGAAUACCACUGGAGCGUGUUUAUAUAAUGGUAAGCAAUGACAAUCAAGAAAAGUAUUGUGUGAUUCCUUAACUUACGGAAGGAAUACCUGGCACAGAAAUAUAUAUCGUAAAUAUAAAAUGAAAGGUUAAAUUUUAUACUGUUUGAUCUAUUAUAUUAAAAAUGAACAAUGCCUGAAAAAGAAGCUGGGCAGGGCAUAUAGGAGGAGUUUUGGUUAGUUCUGAUAAGAACAAGUCAAAACGAUUUCUUACAUUCAGAAACACGGACCCUAAAAGAGAACAGCAUGGAAAUAUGAAAAGAUAAAUGCGAGAAUAAGUGGAGGUGGUUCCUUAACUUACGGAAGGAAAGACACCUGACCGUAUUCUCGAAAUCAAACAGUAGAUCAAACAGUAGAAGGUAUAAAUGUGAAAAUAGGCCAAGAGGUUCCUUAACUUACGGAAGGAAGAACACCUGGGCCGUAUUUUCGAAAUAGAAUUAAACCACAAAGAAUGCACAGGUAAAAUGGGAAAAAUAGCUCUAAGUGUUUGACCUACGGGAGGAAUAUCACUGGACACUAUUUUUCAGCAAGUAAAAAAAAUAUAAAGUAUCGCAACUAUAAAAUGGCAAAUAAAUGGGGUAUGUUUCUAGCGCGUGGUCUGGCAAGCAGAGAUUCCGCUGGAAACAGUACACAAAAAUAUACAAGUAAAUAUUAUAGGUCUGUUCCUUUGUUUUUUAGUGUUACACUUUUGAGUGUAAGUGUACGAAAUUCUAUGGACAUUUGAGUGUAAAAUGACAGCGGAUGUGACAGCGGCUCAUGACAGCGGACAGUAUUAAACGAAAAUUAUCGGUGUGCCAAUCAAGCAAAGGGACAAGGAACUUCCGAAUAUGGCCUAACUGGGGGCACAUAACAUAACAUAACCUAAUCCUAAUAUUUACAUUUGUAAAGAAUAUCCUGUUUGUUUUUAUUGUCGAUUGUGCAGCGAAAUUGUGUGCAGCAAAUCAAAUAUAAAGUAGUUUAUCGCCUACAGAACUGAAUUAGUCCAUAGCAGUUAUCAGUUUUUCUUUCUUGGGAAGCUUAUACAUGUAACUUGUAUUGUUGUAAAUUGUGGGAGUAGGGCAGACAGGGAAAAGUCUUAUUUUGUACUGUUCCCAAGGCUCCCCAUGCAAUACAUUUAAAUGAAUUAUCCAAACAAAGCCGGGGACAAUGGAUAAAAGCCACAAGAAGAACAGAUAUAAGGGAACUAAAAUUAAAAUAUGAAAAGUAAACAUUUUAUAAGUGGAACAACCACCAGAUAUUUAAAAGGUAUAAAAAGAAGAAACUGCUGGAAUUUCAAAACAAAUGUGUUUGACUAGUAAAGAUUUGGAUAAAUAACAGGAGUUAUUUCAUGUUAAUUCUUAUUAAUUAUACACUUAAAUAUGUUUUUAGUCUCAGGAAGAUUUUAUAUUUGAUUAUUUUUGAAUAAACAUUAUUAUUAUUAUUACCUUAAUUUCCAUUAAAUAAAUUAACUGUAAUCAAUAAAGUAAUCGUUUAAUUGUUAAUAAAUUAUCAAGUAUGA